UCCUAAAUAUCAAUUCCAGCAAUCAAUACUAUUGCUUGAUUUUCUUGAAACGUAAAGUUGAUCUAUUCAGGGAUUCAUGUUUUAAUUCUAGUAACCCUAUAUUAUUAUUCAUUAUAGGAUAAAGGAAGAAAGGAAUUAUUUAUGGCCAAACUAAAUUUCAUAAGCUAUGUGAAUCCAUAAGAGGGCUAAUGUGGUUGUAGAGGUCUCAUGCAAAGUUCUAAUUGACAUAAUAUUGACAUGGUUUUACCAUUGUCAUUGAUGGAGGAGAGAUUGUAUUGUGUUAUCCGUUAUAGUUGUUUUCUCCAAAAUGAAUAAUUCCUUUAUUGCAUAGCUUUUGACUCAGGUAUUUUCAGAAAUCUUUGGGGUCAUUUUGCAUUAAAAGCCAUUAGUAGGUGCUUUUAGAUGCACUAGUCAUCAGCUUGCGUAAUGUGCAGAAAUCAUUCAAGUAAAAUAGUUAUAAGAGAGUGCCAACGGCAUGUGGCCUAAUGGCGCAAGACCCACAUCUCCAAAAUGGAGAUCAUGAGUUCGACCCCUUCCCCUAAUGUAUCAAAAAAAAUAGUUAAGAGGUGAGGAAGCCAAAAAGGUAAAUAACAAUGAGUCAAUAAUUACAAUGAGAUAUGUAGUCUUUUUUCUUUAUUGGAAAAGUAAUAAUAAAAUGGUAGAAGAGUUAAGUGUAGGAAAGUAAAAGAGACAAGUAAUGGGAAAUCAGUAACCGCUACAAGGUAAAAAGUCUUUUUUCCCCUUCUCUAUUGAAUUAGUAACCAUAAAUGGUAGGAAACAUAUCAUCUUCAAACGUUUUUUUAAUAUUAAUGUCAAAAAAUCGAGUAGGUUUACUGUGGUAAUAAAGACAAUACAAUGAAAGCUUUUUAUGGCAUGUUAAGGGUUGAGAUUGUUAAUAAAAUAAAAUGGACUUAUGUAGUGUAUUUGGCUUGAAAGGUAUGGCCUUAGCUUUGAAGAUGGAGAACACUUGUUGGGAGAGAUUAGAUGCUUUUUCUUUCAUACAUUAUUUCUUUGGGCUUCUGCUAUUGUUCUUGAUGGGGCGAAAAAAUUAUAUAGGUUCUUCUUUACAUGGGGACUAAGGGUAUGAAGUGCUGGCAAACAUGGUUCUUCUCUUUUCAUCAUUAUAUACAGAAUAAAUGGCUCACAAGAUGCCUUGGUGCACAUUUGUAAGAUGGAGCCUGUAAAAGAGACUUGCUGUACAUGGGCUACACCUAUUGAUAUUAAUAAUAUUUAUACCCAGAAAAAAAGCAACGGUGUUUUCCAUAUA